rnacentral:rRNA from 1 species
GAUGAACGCUGGCGGCGUGCUUAACACAUGCAAGUCGAACGAAGCACUUUAACCUGAUUCUUCGGAUGAAGGUUUUUGUGACUGAGUGGCGGACGGGUGAGUAACGCGUGGGUAACCUGCCUCAUACAGGGGGAUAACAGUUAGAAAUGACUGCUAAUACCGCAUAAGACCACAGAGCCGCAUGGCUCGGUGGGAAAAACUCCGGUGGUAUGAGAUGGACCCGCGUCUGAUUAGGUAGUUGGUGGGGUAACGGCCUACCAAGCCAACGAUCAGUAGCCGACCUGAGAGGGUGACCGGCCACAUUGGGACUGAGACACGGCCCAAACUCCUACGGGAGGCAGCAGUGGGGAAUAUUGCACAAUGGGAGAAACCCUGAUGCAGCGACGCCGCGUGAGCGAAGAAGUAUUUCGGUAUGUAAAGCUCUAUCAGCAGGGAAGAAAAUGACGGUACCUGACUAAGAAGCACCGGCUAAAUACGUG